rnacentral:rRNA from 1 species
AUUGAACGCUGGCGGCAUGCCUUACACAUGCAAGUCGAACGGUAACAGGUUAAGCUGACGAGUGGCGAACGGGUGAGUAAUAUAUCGGAACGUGCCCAAUCGUGGGGGAUAACGGAGCGAAAGCUUUGCUAAUACCGCAUACGAUCUACGGAUGAAAGCAGGGGACCGCAAGGCCUUGCGCGGACGGAGCGGCCGAUGGCAGAUUAGGUAGUUGGUGGGAUAAAAGCUUACCAAGCCGACGAUCUGUAGCUGGUCUGAGAGGACGACCAGCCACACUGGGACUGAGACACGGCCCAGACUCCUACGGGAGGCAGCAGUGGGGAAUUUUGGACAAUGGGCGCAAGCCUGAUCCAGCCAUGCCGCGUGAGUGAAGAAGGCCCUCGGGUUGUAAAGCUCUUUUGUCCGGAAAGAAAAGCGCCGGGUUAAUACCCUGGUGUCCUGACGGUACCGGAAGAAUAAGCACCGGCUAACUUCGUG